rnacentral:lncRNA from 1 species
CAGAUACAGACAGUCAUAAGGAUAGAUGGACAGACAGCAAGAUGGAAGGAAGGAUAGACAUACAGACAAACAGAAUGACAGGCAGGCAGGCAGACAGACAGAAUGAUGGACAGACAGAUGGAUAGACAGACAUAUGUACACACAGAAAGACAGAUAUAUAGACAAAUAGAAAGAUAGGCAGACAGACACAUAGACAGAUAGACAAACAAGUAGGCAGACAGGAAGAGCGACAGACUCACCUGAUGGAUGGAUGGUUGGACAAAUGGACAGACAGACAGACACAUAGACAGAAGUGUAGAUAAACAGAAGGGUAGACAGACAGACAGACAGAGGAUAGUGAGACAGACAGACAGGUCAGCCAGCCAGCUAGAAGAGAUAAUGACAGACAUACAGACAGACAUCUAGAUAGAGGCACAGAAGGAUAGACAGACAGACACACGGAAGCAGACAGAAGGGUAGACAGACAAACAGAAGGGUAGACAGAAUAGUUAGAUAGACAGAAGGAAAAACAGACAGAUAGACACACAGAAACAGACAGAAAGAAGGGUAGACAGACAGACAGAAAGUAGAUACAGACAGACAGACAGAAGAAUUGACAGAGAGGCAGACACACAGAAACAGACAGAAGGGUAGACAGACUGGCAGCAGGGUAGACAGAAGGAUAGAAAGGCAGACAGACAGAAACAGACAGAAGGGUAGACAGACUGACAGACAGACAGGCAGACAGACAGAUAGACAGAGAAGGUUAGACAGACAGUCUGACAGACAGAAGGUUAGACAUACAAAAAGAAGGGUAGAAAGGCAGUCAGACAGGACAGACAGACAGAAAAGUAGAGAGACAGACAGAAGUAUGGAGAGAUGGACAGACGGAUAGACACAGGGAGAGGUAGACAGUUAUCCAGCCAUCCAAUAUUCCAGAGAUAGACAGACAGAUGGACAGACACACAGACAAACAAAAGGUUAGGCAGACAAAAAGGAUAGACAGACAGAAAGGCACACAGACAGACAGACUGAAAGAUAGACAGAAGGACAGACAACAGAUGGGUAGAAAUACACACACAUGUAGACAGAAGGGUAUACAGAAAAACAGAAGGGUAGAGAAACAGAUAGACAGAUGGAUGGACAAACGGUUGGACAGGUAGAUGCACACACAGAAAGACAGACAGAACAGAUAGACAGACAGGCAAAUAGACAGACAGACAUACAGAGAGACACACUAACUGAUAGACGGAGAGAUGUUUGGAAGAAUGGAUAGACAGAUAAACAGAGACAGACAAACAGACGGUCAGACUGAUG